rnacentral:tRNA from 1 species
CGGGGCUUGCUGAAACUGGUAGCCAGAGCGGACUUAAAAUCCGUUGGGCUUUUGCCCGUGCGGGUUCGAGUCCCGCAGCCCCGACCA